AUUGAACGCUGGCGGCAUGCCUUACACAUGCAAGUCGAACGGCAGCACGGGCUUCGGCCUGGUGGCGUGUGGCGAACGGGUGAGUAAUGCAUCGGAACGUGCCCAUGUCGUGGGGGAUAACGUAUCGAAAGGUACGCUAAUACCGCAUACGCCCUGAGGGGGAAAGCGGGGGAUUCUUCGGAACCUCGCGCGAUUGGAGCGGCCGAUGUCGGAUUAGCUAGCUGGUGGGGUAAAGGCUCACCAAGGCGACGAUCCGUAGCGGGUCUGAGAGGAUGAUCCGCCACACUGGGACUGAGACACGGCCCAGACUCCUACGGGAGGCAGCAGUGGGGAAUUUUGGACAAUGGGCGCAAGCCUGAUCCAGCCAUGCCGCGUGAGUGAAGAAGGCCUUCGGGUUGUAAAGCUCUUUCGGCCGGGAAGAAAUCGCACUCUCUAACAUAGGGUGUGGAUGACGGUACCGGACUAAGAAGCACCGGCUAACUACGUGCCAGCCGCCGCCGUAAUAC
rnacentral:rRNA from 1 species